UCUUAAUAAUUUUUUUAUUUUUAAAUUAUUUAGAUAAUUUUAAUUAAUAAUAAAAAAAUUAUUUUAUUGGGGUGAUAAUAAAAUUUAAAUAACUUUUAUUUUAUAUAACAUUAAUUUAUGAAUUUAUGAUCCAUUAUUUAUGAUUAAAAAUUUAAGU
rnacentral:rRNA from 1 species